UACGUAGGGGCGAGCGUUGUCCGGAAUUACUGGGCGUAAAGGGUGCGCAGGCGGUUUUACAAGUCGCAUGUGAAAGGUCGGGGCUCAACUCCGACACUGCAUACGAAACUGUAAGACUUGAGUACAGGAGAGGCAAGCGGAAUUCCUAGUGUAGCGGUGAAAUGCAUAGAUAUUAGGAGGAACACCAGUGGCGAAGGCGGCUUGCUGGACUGAAACUGACGCUGAGGCACGAAAGCGUGGGGAGCAAACAGGAUUAGAUACCCU
rnacentral:rRNA from 1 species